rnacentral:misc_RNA from 1 species
GUUUAAUAUGAUAACAAUCUCUGUUGAAACAGAAUUAUCAUGUUUCCUGGAGUGAAGUCAAAUCUAGUUGGUCUGAUAGAGCGUUAGUGGUUUGUGAGAGCAGUUACUGGAAUGAAGAAAUUAUGAUUGUAAAAGUUUGUUCAUUGAGAAGUGAGUUAUAUCCAUUCGUUAAAUAUAACAUAAAUAUCAACGUUAGAGGUCUCAACUGCAAAUUGGAGAACCAUUUGACAUUUUUAAUCUGUA